UGUUAUUACUUGCUUCAUAUGAGAUUAAACUUUCUCCUGGAAUGUUGAUAAGGUUGCUAUCUUAGACUUAUUAUUAUUUCUUUCAUAUGUGAUUACACUCUCCUGGCAUAUGCAUUGACAAGAUUGCUAUAUGUUACUUCCAUUUUCGAAUGCUUUCCUCGACAAUGGUACUAAUACACAUUAAUGCCUUGCGUAAAAAAUGUUCCACUCAUCUCCCCAGGUAACUUUACUCAUCAAGAUUCAGUGCACAUGAUGUCUGAAAUUGAACUAGCAAAACAGAGUCAGCCGAUAAACAAAAUAUCAAAACGCUCUGUUGAUUCAGUGAUGAGAGUAUUAGUUAUUCGAAGGGGUUCAAUAAUACCUUACAAGAAUUCAAGACAUGAAGGGACUUUCAGAAUCAUAAUAUUAGUUGACGAAGAGCUAACAACUUCAUAGUUUUAUAUUUUUUAAUACUAUUGUUUAUAUUUGUCGCAAUCAUACACCCCCUCUGUUUGAUUACUAAUAGGGCACAAAGCUCAGGCCCCACUAUUUAGUAAGCAUAUUGUAACAUGGAAGGACACCUUGAAGCCAAACAAGACUUACUAUAUUGCUAAAGGACGCUUAGAUCGCGUCAACCCCAACUACUCUUCCGUGUAUAAAGAAUUUGAAUUGGCCUUUACAGACAACACAAUCAUAAAGGAUACUAACCAUGAAGUUUCAACAAUAUAGUUCUCUGAUGGCUUUGUAUCAUUGCACCAUGCUGAAAAACUACUUAAUGGUGCUAUUCUAGGUAACUAAUCAUUAUGAUGUUAUUUUCAUGCUCCCUUACGUUAUCGAGGUCAAAUAUGAAGUGUUUUAGACUUGCUUUGCGUUUUAGUUUCAGUGAAUCCCCUCAUCCAUAAUUUUAAAAGCAAGAGACGGGAAAUAGUUGUUACAAAUGAACUGUAAGUUUUAUCAUGGAUAAUCGACUCUCUAUGUAGAUAUAUGGUAAUGUAUUCACUCUUCUCUUCUAUCAAAUAUUCCAGCAUGGAGCAUACAAUUGUUACUCUAUGGGGAGACUUUGCUGAGAAUGAUGGGUCAUUAUUGGAAAAGCUGAAAGAAGAUAGACCUAUACUUGCCUUAUGUGACUUUUGGUCUCCAUCUAUAAAGGCGUGAACUCAUAAAGGUCGAGAACAAAGAUAUUGCAGCAUCACAAAGUAGGUUGGCGAGAAGAGCUAUAGAAGUACCCUUGCCACAUAUUCUCGAUGGUUUGUUGCCUGAUUCACGGGAUUUAAUGUACAAAUUCAAAGCAAAAUUUUAGACCUCCUCAAUAAAGAUGAACCAUGGUAUCCGUCAUGCAGAAAGUGCCAUAAGAAAGUGAAAUGUAUAUAUGAUGUAGCAGCAUGUAACAAUUGGAACAUUGAAAACAUAGAAUAUG